GAUGAACGCUGGCGGCGUGCCUAAUACAUGCAAGUCGAGCGCGAGAGUGAGGAGCUUGCUCCUCAUGAUCGAGCGGCGGACGGGUGAGUAACACGUAGGCAACCUACCCUUGAGAUUGGGAUAACUAACGGAAAAGGUAGCUAAUACCGGAUCCGACUUUUCCACCUAAGUGGAAUGGUUAAAUGGCGGAUUGAUCUGCCGCUCAUGGAUGGUCUCGCGGUGAAUUAGCUCGUUGGUGAGGUAGUGGCUCACCAAGGCGACGAUGCAUAGCCGACCUGAGAGGGUGAUCGGCCACACUGGGACUGGGACACGGCGCAGACUCCUACGGGAGGCAGCAGUAGGGAAUCUUCCGCAAUGGACGAAAGUCUGACGGAGCAACGCCGCGUGAGUGAUGAAGGGUUUCGGCUCGUAAAACUCUGUUGUUAAGGAAGAACACUUGAGGUAGUAACUGGCCUUGAGAUGACGGUACUUAACCAGAAAGCCACGGCUAACUACGUGCCAGCCGCCGCAGUAA
rnacentral:rRNA from 1 species